UGUAUAUGUAAACUUUACGGUGUUCAAAGUUCCACCAGAUGCUGGAAUGGAGAACUUAAAAGGGAAGUUCGGUGCAAAUCCGACGCGGUCCCGCCACUGUGAAGGGAAGAACACUGCUGAUAUUAAACCCACUAUUUCUGCCUGUGAAAUGGGAAGGGGGCGGUUGUUCGUCAGACCCGAAGCCAGGAGACCUGCCGUGAAGAGAAACACUGC
rnacentral:ncRNA from 2 species